rnacentral:tRNA from 1 species
UGGAACAUGGCCAAGCGGCAAGGCGCCGGUUUUUGGCACCGGCAUCCCUGGUUCGAGCCCAGGUGUUCCAG